rnacentral:rRNA from 1 species
AGCGUACACGGUGGAUGCCCUGGCAGUCAGAGGCGAUGAAGGACGUGCUAAUCUGCGAUAAGCGUCGGUAAGGUGAUAUGAACCGUUAUAACCGGCGAUUUCCGAAUGGGGAAACCCAGUGUGUUUCGACACACUAUCAUUAACUGAAUCCAUAGGUUAAUGAGGCGAACCGGGGGAACUGAAACAUCUAAGUACCCCGAGGAAAAGAAAUCAACCGAGAUUCCCCCAGUAGCGGCGAGCGAACGGGGAGCAGCCCAGAGCCUGAAUCAGUGUGUGUGUUAGUGGAAGCGUCUGGAAAGGCGCGCGAUACAGGGUGACAGCCCCGUACACAAAAAUGCACAUAUUGUGAGCUCGAUGAGUAGGGCGGGACACGUGGUAUCCUGUCUGAAUAUGGGGGGACCAUCCUCCAAGGCUAAAUACUCCUGACUGACCGAUAGUGAACCAGUACCGUGAGGGAAAGGCGAAAAGAACCCCGGCGAGGGGAGUGAAAAAGAACCUGAAACCGUGUACGUACAAGCAGUGGGAGCACGCUUAGGCGUGUGACUGCGUACCUUUUGUAUAAUGGGUCAGCGACUUAUAUUCUGUAGCAAGGUUAACCGAAUAGGGGAGCCGAAGGGAAACCGAGUCUUAACUGGGCGUUAAGUUGCAGGGUAUAGACCCGAAACCCGGUGAUCUAGCCAUGGGCAGGUUGAAGGUUGGGUAACACUAACUGGAGGACCGAACCGACUAAUGUUGAAAAAUUAGCGGAUGACUUGUGGCUGGGGGUGAAAGGCCAAUCAAACCGGGAGAUAGCUGGUUCUCCCCGAAAGCUAUUUAGGUAGCGCCUCGUGAAUUCAUCUCCGGGGGUAGAGCACUGUUUCGGCAAGGGGGUCAUCCCGACUUACCAACCCGAUGCAAACUGCGAAUACCGGAGAAUGUUAUCACGGGAGACACACGGCGGGUGCUAACGUCCGUCGUGAAGAGGGAAACAACCCAGACCGCCAGCUAAGGUCCCAAAGUCAUGGUUAAGUGGGAAACGAUGUGGGAAGGCCCAGACAGCCAGGAUGUUGGCUUAGAAGCAGCCAUCAUUUAAAGAAAGCGUAAUAGCUCACUGGUCGAGUCGGCCUGCGCGGAAGAUGUAACGGGGCUAAACCAUGCACCGAAGCUGCGGCAGCGACGCUUAUGCGUUGUUGGGUAGGGGAGCGUUCUGUAAGCCUGUGAAGGUGUGCUGUGAGGCAUGCUGGAGGUAUCAGAAGUGCGAAUGCUGACAUAAGUAACGAUAAAGCGGGUGAAAAGCCCGCUCGCCGGAAGACCAAGGGUUCCUGUCCAACGUUAAUCGGGGCAGGGUGAGUCGACCCCUAAGGCGAGGCCGAAAGGCGUAGUCGAUGGGAAACAGGUUAAUAUUCCUGUACUUGGUGUUACUGCGAAGGGGGGACGGAGAAGGCUAUGUUGGCCGGGCGACGGUUGUCCCGGUUUAAGCGUGUAGGCUGGUUUUCCAGGCAAAUCCGGAAAAUCAAGGCUGAGGCGUGAUGACGAGGCACUACGGUGCUGAAGCAACAAAUGCCCUGCUUCCAGGAAAAGCCUCUAAGCAUCAGGUAACAUCAAAUCGUACCCCAAACCGACACAGGUGGUCAGGUAGAGAAUACCAAGGCGCUUGAGAGAACUCGGGUGAAGGAACUAGGCAAAAUGGUGCCGUAACUUCGGGAGAAGGCACGCUGAUAUGUAGGUGAAGUCCCUCGCGGAUGGAGCUGAAAUCAGUCGAAGAUACCAGCUGGCUGCAACUGUUUAUUAAAAACACAGCACUGUGCAAACACGAAAGUGGACGUAUACGGUGUGACGCCUGCCCGGUGCCGGAAGGUUAAUUGAUGGGGUUAGCGCAAGCGAAGCUCUUGAUCGAAGCCCCGGUAAACGGCGGCCGUAACUAUAACGGUCCUAAGGUAGCGAAAUUCCUUGUCGGGUAAGUUCCGACCUGCACGAAUGGCGUAAUGAUGGCCAGGCUGUCUCCACCCGAGACUCAGUGAAAUUGAACUCGCUGUGAAGAUGCAGUGUACCCGCGGCAAGACGGAAAGACCCCGUGAACCUUUACUAUAGCUUGACACUGAACAUUGAGCCUUGAUGUGUAGGAUAGGUGGGAGGCUUUGAAGUGUGGACGCCAGUCUGCAUGGAGCCGACCUUGAAAUACCACCCUUUAAUGUUUGAUGUUCUAACGUUGACCCGUAAUCCGGGUUGCGGACAGUGUCUGGUGGGUAGUUUGACUGGGGCGGUCUCCUCCUAAAGAGUAACGGAGGAGCACGAAGGUUGGCUAAUCCUGGUCGGACAUCAGGAGGUUAGUGCAAUGGCAUAAGCCAGCUUGACUGCGAGCGUGACGGCGCGAGCAGGUGCGAAAGCAGGUCAUAGUGAUCCGGUGGUUCUGAAUGGAAGGGCCAUCGCUCAACGGAUAAAAGGUACUCCGGGGAUAACAGGCUGAUACCGCCCAAGAGUUCAUAUCGACGGCGGUGUUUGGCACCUCGAUGUCGGCUCAUCACAUCCUGGGGCUGAAGUAGGUCCCAAGGGUAUGGCUGUUCGCCAUUUAAAGUGGUACGCGAGCUGGGUUUAGAACGUCGUGAGACAGUUCGGUCCCUAUCUGCCGUGGGCGCUGGAGAACUGAGGGGGGCUGCUCCUAGUACGAGAGGACCGGAGUGGACGCAUCACUGGUGUUCGGGUUGUCAUGCCAAUGGCACUGCCCGGUAGCUAAAUGCGGAAGAGAUAAGUGCUGAAAGCAUCUAAGCACGAAACUUGCCCCGAGAUGAGUUCU